rnacentral:rRNA from 1 species
UGCAUCAUGAUUUACAUUUGAGUGAGUGGCGAACUGGUGAGUAACACGUGGGAAACCUGCCCAGAAGCGGGGGAUAACACCUGGAAACAGAUGCUAAUACCGCAUAACAACUUGGACCGCAUGGUCCGAGCUUGAAAGAUGGCUUCGGCUAUCACUUUUGGAUGGUCCCGCGGCGUAUUAGCUAGAUGGUGGGGUAACGGCUCACCAUGGCAAUGAUACGUAGCCGACCUGAGAGGGUAAUCGGCCACAUUGGGACUGAGACACGGCCCAAACUCCUACGGGAGGCAGCAGUAGGGAAUCUUCCACAAUGGACGAAAGUCUGAUGGAGCAACGCCGCGUGAGUGAAGAAGGGUUUCGGCUCGUAAAACUCUGUUGUUAAAGAAGAACAUAUCUGAGAGUAACUGUUCAGGUAUUGACGGUAUUUAACCAGAAAGCCACGGCUAACUACGUGCCAGCAGCCGCGGUAAUACGUAGGUGGCAAGCGUUGUCCGGAUUUAUUGGGCGUAAAGCGAGCGCAGGCGGUUUUUUAAGUCUGAUGUGAAAGCCUUCGGCUCAACCGAAGAAGUGCAUCGGAAACUGGGAAACUUGAGUGCAGAAGAGGACAGUGGAACUCCAUGUGUAGCGGUGAAAUGCGUAGAUAUAUGGAAGAACACCAGUGGCGAAGGCGGCUGUCUGGUCUGUAACUGACGCUGAGGCUCGAAAGUAUGGGUAGCAAACAGGAUUAGAUACCCUGGUAGUCCAUACCGUAAACGAUGAAUGCUAAGUGUUGGAGGGUUUCCGCCCUUCAGUGCUGCAGCUAACGCAUUAAGCAUUCCGCCUGGGGAGUACGGCCGCAAGGCUGAAACUCAAAGGAAUUGACGGGGGCCCGCACAAGCGGUGGAGCAUGUGGUUUAAUUCGAAGCUACGCGAAGAACCUUACCAGGUCUUGACAUACUAUGCAAAUCUAAGAGAUUAGACGUUCCCUUCGGGGACAUGGAUACAGGUGGUGCAUGGUUGUCGUCAGCUCGUGUCGUGAGAUGUUGGGUUAAGUCCCGCAACGAGCGCAACCCUUAUUAUCAGUUGCCAGCAUUAAGUUGGGCACUCUGGUGAGACUGCCGGUGACAAACCGGAGGAAGGUGGGGAUGACGUCAAAUCAUCAUGCCCCUUAUGACCUGGGCUACACACGUGCUACAAUGGAUGGUACAACGAGUUGCGAACUCGCGAGAGUAAGCUAAUCUCUUAAAGCCAUUCUCAGUUCGGAUUGUAGGCUGCAACUCGCCUACAUGAAGUCGGAAUCGCUAGUAAUCGCGGAUCAGCAUGCCGCGGUGAAUACGUUCCCGGGCCUUGUACACACCGCCCGUCACACCAUGAGAGUUU